rnacentral:rRNA from 1 species
UUAAGCAUAUCAAUAAGCGGAGGAAAAGAAACUAACAAGGAUUCCCCUAGUAACGGCGAGUGAAGUGGGAAAAGCUCAACUUUGUAAUCUGGCUGUCUUUGGCAGUCCGAGUUGUAGUCUAGAGAAGUGUUAUCCGCGCAGACCCUUAUAGAUUUCGGUUGGAAUGCCAAGUCAAAGAGGGUGAGAAUCCCGUAUUUGAUAAGGUGGUCUUGUGCAUUGUGAUACAUUUUCAAAGAGUCGAGUUGUUUGGGAAUGCAGCUCAAAGUGGGUGGUAAAUUCCAUCUAAAGCUAAAUAUUGGCGAGAGACCGAUAGCGAACAAGUACCGUGAGGGAAAGAUGAAAAGCACUUUGGAAAGAGAAUGAAAUAGUACAUGAAAUUGCUGAAAGGGAAACGAGUGAAGUUAGACUUGCGCAGUUGGUAUUCAGCCUUGGCUUCGGUCUUGGUGCAUUUGCCUUCUAUUGCAGGCCAGCAUCAGUUUACUUUGCGGUAAAAGGGUUUGGGGAAUGUGGCUCUUUCGGGAGUGUUAUAGCCCCUUUCUGGAUGCCGAAUCGUAGACUGAGGAACGCAGCGCGCCUUUAUGGCAGGGUCUUUAGACUCCGAGCGCUUAGGAUGCUGGUAGAAUAGCUUUACACGACCCGUCUUGAAA